rnacentral:rRNA from 1 species
UACGUAGGGUGCAAGCGUUAAUCGGAAUUACUGGGCGUAAAGCGUGCGCAGGCGGUGAUGUAAGACAGAUGUGAAAUCCCCGGGCUCACCUGGAACUGACAUUUGUGACUGCAUCGCUGGAGUGCGGCAGAGGGGGAUGGAAUUCCGCGUGUAGCAGUGAAAUGCGUAGAUAUGCGGAGGAACACCGAUGGCGAAGGCAAUCCCCUGGGCCGCAC